rnacentral:lncRNA from 11 species
GUCUAGAUGGUCUUUGAAGGUCUCUUUGCUUAGCUAUUGCCUUAUGAGACUCAUCUAGAUGGCUUUUGGAGGUCACUUUCCUUACCUAUGGUUUUAUGAGACCAUCUAGAUGGCCUUUGAGGGUCCCUUUCCCUACCUAGGGUUUUAUGAGAUUAUCUAGAUGGCCUUUGGGGGCCCCUUUCCCUACCUAGGGUUUUAUGAGAUUAUCUAGAUGGCCUUUGAGGGCCCCUUUCCUUACGUAUGGUCUUAUGAAACCAUCUAGAUGGUCUUUGAGGGUCCUUUUCCUUAUCUAUGGUUUUCUGAUGGCAUUAUGAUAUCAUCUACAUGGCCUUUGAGGGUCCUUUUCCUUACUGAUGGUCUUAUGACACCAUCUAGAUGGACUUUGGAGGUCUCUUUGCUUACCUAUGGUCUUAUGACAUCGUCUAGAUCUGGGGUCCCCAAACUAAGGCCCUCCAAGGUCAUUUACCCUGGCCUCUGUCCUAAACUUCAGACUUAGGGUUGACCUGAAACGACUUGAAGGCACGCAACAACAACAAUCUAAUUUUGGACUAUUUCAUCAUAGUCUGGCCCCCCAACAAUGUGAGGGACUGUGAACCCUCCACUUAAAAAGUUUGAGGACCCCUGCUCUAUCUCCUUGGGAAAAGUGACUAAAAUGAAAAACAAAUUGUUGUAUACAAACCAAGUGAUGAAAGAGUCACAUCACGACUGCAUGCUGUGUCACAAUGGAUGAAAUCAACAUCAGCCUCGAGGUCCUCUCCAGGAGAUUGGGUUCCCAAGAGCCCUCCUUGGGGGGCACAAAAGUCAGGCGGGGACCCCAAAAUGAGAUCAUUUGCAUGGCUACAAAAAUGAAAGGACAUAGCGGAUGACAGGAUUGUAAAAAAUUGUUGCCACUUUUGGAUAUGGGACCUUGGUAGAAAGUGUUUCUUGAAGCGGGAUUUGCUUCUAUUACUUUUCUUUUAGACUUCAACUCUGAUGGAUUUUGCUGCCUGUCCAGACUGGAUGGAGGGACUAAGACACAGAUUCAUGAAUUGCACAGUGGAGCCUGGGACUCAGCCACCUUCCGAAACCAACUUUAAGGACACAUUCCACAUUCCUGCUGAUGGUCUUCCAGGGAAAAAAGGUCAAAUGGCUUCACAAAUAGCAGAUGACCGUCAGAAUGAGAGGAACUGUGUCAAGGGUGCCUUCGGCGUCUCCACCACCACAGGAUCCAGGAAACUCAAGAGGAGAAGCACUGCUUUCCAUCACAAGCCUUCAGAUUCUGGUGUUAGUUUUUGGGAAGAGAUGUCCAUUCAUUCCAAUUGUAACGCGAAUGCUCCCAGUGACAGAUGGCAUCAAAGAGCUCGCUCUUCAGUCACAAACCUUAAAGAAGAAUUAGAAGAUGGAGAGGAAGGAAUCUUUGAAAGACCAGGAACAGAGGUGUCUCCAUCAAAAGGAGGAAGGCAUUAUGAUAUCGACAUGGAAACAACCGGUGACAUCCAGACGGCAAAUGAAAGUCUCCGCCAAGAUGGCGCAACCAACCUGCCACAAAGGCUUUCAGGGCCCUCGGAGCUUCCUAGAGGCUUGGGUUACUUUGCAGAGGCUCUGACGCUGGUGCCCAACCACUCCUUGAUGGAUGUUGAGCCUUCACAAUGUUUAGGGUCGCCACCAAACACACGCUUGGCCCUCUUGUCAAAGCCUCUUCCUGCAGAGCCCAAUGGAGACGUCGUCAUGCGUGAGGAAAGGAAGAUCAAGAAGUCGAAGGAGAUCCCAAUUUUAGACCGGGUUGGGGAAACCUUGCGGCAAAAGAAAUUACGUGCAACUCAGGCGUGAGCAAUCCUGAAACGGAUCACCCAUCUUCUUUGGAUUCUUUUCUACUUUCUGAGUAAGCUUGACUCUGCUGCACAUAAUUGGAUUUUCACAGCUUUCAGAAAUAGCUGCGAUUUAAAAUAGCUGCAGUGAAAUAAAGCAUACGUUGGGGAAGAAGAACCCUGUUAGUUGAUUUUUUUCCCCGUCUCCACGGCUAGACUCACAGCUGCAAAACAAUUCGGCUUCAGUGCACUGGUCUGCCCUGCAUUUGCAACCCAUGCAGCCCUUAUGAUAUGUAUUGACAACCACACAAUCCCCAUGAGAAAAAUUCAAGUAGGUGCUGGAUGUGUGCCUCACCCCCUUUCCCCCGUCAUUCAUUUACUAUGUAUAUGCAAAUACAGGUACAGUAGAGUCUCACUUAUCCAACAUAAAUGGACCAGCAGAACAUUGGAUAAGUGAAUAUGUUGGAUAAUAAGGAGGGAUUAAGGAAAAGCCUAUUACACAUCAAAUUAGGCUAUGAUUUUACAAAUUAAGCACCAAAACGCCAUGUUUAACAACAAAUUUGACAGAAAAAGUAGUUCAAUACGCAGUAAUGCUAUGUAGUAAUUACUGUAUUUAUGAAUUUAGCACCAAAAUAUCAUGAUGUAUUGAAAACAUUGACUACAAAAAUGCAUUGGAUAAUCCAGAACGUUGGAUAAGCGAGACUCUACUGUAUUCCAAAAUCCAAUUAAUCUGUGGCUCCAAGGAUUUUGGAUAAGGGAUAAGGGAGACUCAACCUGCAGUGAGAAGUCAGGCUUGAUGUGCUCCAAGGCAUGCCAUUCAUUUGUGUUAUAAGCAGUUUUUGGGAUCCUUCACACUCUUUUUCCAACACCAUAUUUAGAAUGAGCUGAUUUUUCUUUUCUUUCAGUCUUCUUCACUGUUCAGCUUUCAAAUCCAUGCAUAUAAACAGAAAUACACAUCUUUCCCCUAUGCAUUCUUCCUCCUCUUCCUCCACCAUCCCAAGUCUUAAGUCUUCUGAUACUUUGCCUAUUGUAUUGAUUUGCAACGUUCGUAUCACAUCCUUCAGUAAUAUGAC